GAGCUCAUUCUCCACACACACAAGCACACACGCUACCUAGCUCCGUUAUCCCAACGCCCCACUUGCUUCUGUGUAACUCUAGGCUGGGUGGACAUCGUCCAGCCGAUUUGUUAGUGAAAGACCCCGUAGGCAGCGCUAGCAUCUCCUCUUUUCAGGCGCCCCUUGGGCUCUGGUGUCUAUCACGCUUCUAGACAAGACCCGCUGCUUGCGAGCGAGGAGAGGGCGGCUUUUGGGCACGCAGCCUGGCGUACACGGAAGUCGACGUUUUUUUUUUUUGCCUGUCUUUUACGAGUGUACCGUGCUGGUAAACUCCGUGGUUUGUUUUUGCGAGAACAAACGCGCAAGAUCGUGAGGUUGCACCGGCCCGCACGCAUCUGCUGUUCGCUCGCACGUCUGAGCAAAGACGAUCAAACUAACACAACAACACACGAAAGCUCGAAGUGAAGCAAGCAACAGCUACAAAAAAAAGCACUCACGGCACCCACGAAAUAGACGUCGUAUCUGUGUUCGUUCCUGCCACGGACCCUCGCACGCGCAGCCACUCCUUUCAUGCGCAUACACGACGCGCAACGACACUCGGGGACGUAUACGCCUUUCUUUUCAGGCUUUUGUUUUUCGUCGUUUGUUGUAUGUUUGCCUUCAUUGAUCGCAUACAGGAACGAAGCGAACGCCCCCCACUUUCUCUUCGUUUGUACGUGUGCGUGUGUGCUUUUUGCUGGUGUUUUGUAACCCCGUUCUAUUUCUCCCUGCAUCUUUUUUUUUUUAGCUCGCUCUCUCUCUCUCUCUUUACACAUAUGCGGUCUGACGUGCAUGUGUUUUUGCGUUACUACUCCUUCCCUUGACGGUUCUUCGGCACGACGCCGACGCCUCCCGCCCUCCCCCGCUCGCACGAGCUCAUCGGCUCUUGUCGCACUUCUUCGCUUUGCUUCCACCGCCUCGAUUAGGAGCGUUUAUACAUCUGUUUACGCAUUCUUGUGUUUGCGGCGUACCUGAGGUCGUACACCGAGGCUCGAACACUCAUGCAAUCUCUUGCAGCCCGCAGGUCGCUGCUUGUGCACGACGUUCGCGCGUCGCAGCGGCAGUCUUUCGCCGGUCGUAUUAGCCACCGCGUCGCCUCCAGGCUCUCGCUCGCCGCUCCUCCUGUGGAGGCGCGCACCGGGACUGUGGCAGGCACCAUCAUCAACACCCUCUGCAGCGUGAUCGGCGCCGGGGUGCUGUCGCUGCCACUGGCGCUCUACUUCUCUUCCAUUAUAGUUGGGCUGGUUGUACUCCUCGUGUUCUCAUCCUUUGCGGCCUUCAGCGUGUACUGCCUUGUCGUGGGCUGCGACGCCACCGGGCGGUACUCUAUCACUGAGGUGAUUGCCUUUGCCAUCUACCCACCGCAGCUGUGGGAGGAGUACCUGCGCAAGCAAGGGGCCGCCAAGGAGACGGCGCGAGAAGAAGAGCAGCAUGUGGCACGGCAGCACCACAUGCCAGCCUCCGCUUCGUCUGGGGUGCGCAGCAGCAGCCUAAACGGAGAAAGCGCCGUGACGGCUCCGCAGCAAACUGAAGAGGCGCCGACAAGCAUGGAUGCGAAGCAGCACAGUGAUCCAGGGGAGGGCGUGGCGAGCGACGAGGAAGGAAGCGAGGAUACCCUUCCGUAUCGUCACCGCCAUGGCAGCCAUCGAUACGACCGCCGACGAGACGACGGCCACUCGUGCGCAGAAGCCUCACGAACGAAGGAAUGCACAGAGCGCCAUCCACACGCCUCUUUCCUCGCCCCUUCGGCGAGCACCAACGCUCGACUGCGCGACGCGUACGCGCGAGAAGAGUGGCGCCGGCGUCGUUGCCGCCGCGUCAUUACGGCACUUAUGGAGCUCAUCGUCUUCAGCAGCAACUAUGGCGCCCUCGUGAUUUACUCCAAGGUGAUCGCCGAUUCCAUGCCACCCGUUGUUUCGUACGCCACGCACACGGACGGCUUUCUAGUGUCCAAAUACUUCUGGCUCAUUACUGGCGGCGUCGUAUUUUUUGUGCUGAGCUGCUCACGUAACAUGGAGGAGCUGAAGUGGUCUUCGCUGCUCGGCUUCCUGACGAUUUUAUACAUUGUUGUCCUUAUUCUCUACCGCUACCACACACAGAAGCGGUACGACUAUCCGCACGUCGACCCGCGCAGCUAUGGCACGGUACACUGGCUCCGCCUCUCAGUAGGCGUGCUGCAGACAAUCUCGACGUUCGGGUUGGCCCUCAGCUACCACUACAACGUGCCGUACUUCUACAAGGAACUGCAGGACCGCCGACCGUACUGCAUGAUGCAGUCCCUCGCGGUGGCCUUUCCCAUCGUUGUCGUCUGUUAUGCCGUCACCGGUGUCGUCGGCUACUUGACCUUUGGCACCGAGGUGGCGGCACCGAGGGUGGGCGGCAACAUCGUCUCGAACUACCCAAAGAAUGACCUCUUAAUGAACAUCGGCCGUCUCGGCCUCUUUGUUCACUUUGCGUGCGUGUUCCCUGUCCUGUCAAUCUGCACGCGUCGCGGCCUGCAUCGGCUAACCAUGAUUGCCCUGACGUGGGCAGAUCAGUCAGCCCUGAUGAUGGAGGCUGCCAGGGCAUCGGGAGCGCAGCUGACGGAGGGUGUGCGCGGGGCAGAAGUGAGCACAGCAACCGUGUCCUCGCUGUCCCCAACUGCGGCCCCCACGAACGGCGCCGGCGUAGAGGACGGGGCUCACGUAUGUGGUCACAUCCCUGGCGAGACGUCUCCUCUGCUGCAGAGGCACGGCAGCCCCACGCCCGGCUACGAGGUGUUUGCGAACAGCUCGCCACCUCAUCUCGCCAGUCUUGGCCAGCAAUACAACGCCGAGUUACCGCUAUCUGGGCGUCGGAAAUCAGCUGCAGCUGACAGGCCGUGGGAUGCUUUGUGCGCAGACGCCAGUGGGGCAGAACAGGUGCGCGCCUCGCACCCCGGGUCGGAGCAGUUGGGCACUAUCGACGUGGAUCGCGACGUCGGCUCACCUGAUCAGACGACGAUGCUCGCCAUUGUGAUAGAGGCUGCCUUCCUAGUGAUCACAUCGGUGCUGAUUGCUGCGACCGUGUCGGGCAUCGACUUUGUGAUACACCUGAUCGGAACCCUGUUCAGUACUUUUAUUGUGAUGGUGGCGCCUGGGAUGGUGGGGUGGUGCGUGUUCUCACCAAGUGGCCCCUUUGGCUCUGCGUCGGCUGCCGUGGCCGCGUGCAGCGGCGGCGACGGAAAGUUCUCUGGCGCCCUUGUAAGCGAUUUGUUGUCGCGUUUCCGGCUGAUUCGAUUGAAGCAGCUCAUGUGCCUCCUGAACGUUGUGCUGGGGAUUUGCGUGACGUGCGUCGGCGUUGCGACACUCGUGUACGAGACAUUCUGGGGAAAACCGAUACCAGCGCUGUGAGGCUGAGCCGCUCGGUGGUGGGCACGGGAUGAGGCGUGUGUGUGGGUGGUGGUGCACAGCAAAAACGAAGGGCAAGCGCAGACACACGUGGGCAAAAACACAUACGACAGAGGCCCUUGCGCUCUGUUUGGGGGAGGCGGGGGCGCACGGGUAUCUCUACGCUGCUGCCUCCCUCACAGUGUGGCGGCUUGGCGGACGCGCCGCUCUCUGUUUUCGUUGCGUCCCCUUGCCUGCCGACCUCGGCAGAGUGCUAGGGCGCGUGCUCGUGUGCCUGUGUCUGCGCGCUGUCGGACGGCCCGUGCGUCCCUCUUUGUGUGCGCGCAAACUUACCUGCGGGCGUUUGUGUGUGCUCUCCUCCUCGCGGCGUGCUAGCGAGCUCUCUGUUUUCACCAUGACGUCGCCUGCUGUACUCCUUUUCCUUUAUCUGGAG
rnacentral:misc_RNA from 1 species